rnacentral:lncRNA from 1 species
GAGGGUGAGGGACAUGGAGACGUAGCCCGAAUCAGAGAGGAUUUCUGCAGCGUCGAGGAUUGUUUGGGAUGGGAGAGAAGAGGAGAGGGAGAAGAGACAGAAAAUGAUGAGAGAAGUGAGAAGAGAGUACGCCAUUAAUGGUAGGUCCGGAAGAUUUUUAGGGUUUAGGUUGCAGAUUUUCUAUAUGAACGAAGGAGAAAGGAUUCUGGUGGGAAAGAAAAAUGAAACGUGGCGGCGUGGGAUUUGUUGAUCAACAAGGGGAAUCAAAAGUUCGUUAAGAAGUAGUUGUUAAACUCUUCCAGAGAAAUGACGGAAGUACCCCUUCAGGAUUUGAGUUUUACGUUGUUAUUGGGCCUACCGUGGAUGAUGGGCCUUUGUGGGGUCGUCACUCUACUUGGCUGGGUUCUGUUGUGUCGAUAUGAACAUUUUACUCGAAUCAAUAAACCAUAUAACAAUUCUUUCACAAUAACAUAAGUAGGAUGGAGAGAUUGGACCACGUGGAUUAUUCAAAUUCACACGAAAAACAUAAACAUUAUGUCUUAUCUAAUAAAAUUACAAAAAUAUUUAUGACGGUUGUGAAUUUAAAUCGUAAAAUUGGAUUUUUAUUUUUCCUCUCACUUUUCUUUUUCUAGGCCUAAAAGAAGCUUAAGGCAAUUACAAGAAUUUUUUAAAAGAAAGAUGAGAAUGGGAGACUUGCCCAAACAUUGAUACUGUGAAGGUUUCGAUGUUGGUCGGGACGAUGCUACCACCCAAUGAUGGGGAAUGAUCCAACCAUAAUUCUCUUACCAACGGUAUGAUCAUUCUUUGGAAUAUACCCCUGUAAUUGAAACUCUCCUUCCUUUCGGAUAUGGAUUUUUGUAAGUUGUGGUGACUAUAUGGCCUUGGUUGAUGUUUCUCUCUUUAAAACUAUUUGCCCCAAGCCCAUUACUAUCUUCAUCACUUUGGCAUAUUUAGUAUUGCCAUAAUACUAAUAAAGGAAAUUUUAUUUAAUUUUUAAAUUACCAUAUUGUAUUAUUAUUUCUUGUUUUUUUUUAAUAUUUAAAUGAAUAUUUUAUUCGUAAAUCUGAAAAAUUAUAAUGUAUAUGCAUAUUACAAUAAUAAUAUAAUUAUGUAGUAUUUUAACACAUUAAAUACUGAAUAAGGGUGAAAUUAAUCAUAAUGACUCAAAACUAAAACAAAUCAUAAAAUCAAAUCAAAACUAAAACAAAUCAUCAAAUCAAAUAAAAUAUUUCUUAAUAUGAUGUGGGUAUCAUCUAUAAGGUGGGCCGAAAUAUUUAUUCCAUGUGUCUUGGGCAUAGUUGUCAUACCAUGCGUCACCUUCUCUUUGCUCAUAAUCACCAUAUUCCACUGUCCUUCCUCGUUGUUCAAAUGAGAAGUCAACUUCCUCUUGUGUAGGUUCAUCAGAAGUGUCAAUAUCCUCUUGUGUAGGUUCAUCAGAAGAGUCAAUAUCCUCUUGUGGAGGAUCAGUAGAAGCUUCAACAGAAGCCUCAGUAUCUUUUUUCAUGUAAAAGAAAGCGAUAAAGACAGAAAAUUAAAACGAUGAUAUGCCAUAUGAGAAAGACUUAUAUAUACAUAUAUAAUUAGAAGGGACAAAAAAAACCCGAGAGAGAAAGAAAAAGUAAACCUUUGGGCUUAGAAGAAAAGCAACCCAUCUUUUCUAAGUUCAAUUUUUUUUUUUUUUAAAUGUCUUCAUGGAAUCUCUUUUUAUAGCUGAUUAAGUCCUUUAAUUAGCAUGAUAAUGGAAAGAGAGGAAUUUGGGAAGAGAAUCCCUUUUUAAUAUUUUCAAAAUAAAAUAGAUUCUCUUAAAAGUUUUUCCCUUUUAAAAAAAAUUUAAUAAUAUAUAUAUGCCUUGGACAAGGAGUAGGGCUUUGGAGCUUCUUAUGAAACUCUUUCUUGUACCUCGACCUUGUUCCAUUUUUUUUAUCUUGUACCCCAUGUAGGCUUGUUUCGCAUAGGCUACACAAGUUUUGGUUUUGUACCUUGAACACCAACCCCAUCUUGACAAUGAAAAAGAAAAUUACAAACAACUACAAAAAUUAUAACUUCUAUGAAUAGAUGUUUUCAAUUAGUUAGAUUUUUAAAAUUGUGUAAACUUUUAUAACAAACGUCUACAUGCAUUGGUUAAAGUUAUUUUCUUAUAAAAAUUUGACGUUAAUAUGAUUUAUUCAAACAUUUUUAUGUUAUCUAUGAUUCUUAGAAAAUAUUAAGGAAAGAAAAUAUGAAGGAAUAAUAAAAGGAAAAGAAAAAAUAUAGAAAUAUAUAUAUAUAUAUAUAUAUAUAUAUAUAUAUAUAUAUAUAUAUAUAUAUAUAUAUAUAUAUAUAUAUAUAUAUAUAUAUAAAGUUUUAGGACAAUCGUGUUUUAGACCUAGUUGGACCUAAAAAUUAAGUUUUGAUUCAUAUAAAUUGCAUAAUUGAUGGAAAGAAUAUAAAAUAUGAAAAGAUCAAUAUAUCUUUCAAAACUAUUUUCUACCACAAUGUUCGAUAAAUUUUUUGAUCUUAAAUUUUUUUUAAUAAUUAUUCUAAAAAUUGAUUAUUUUUAGAAAACUAAUUUUUCUAAAAAUAUAUCAUUUUAAAAAAAAUUUUGACAUAAUUUUAGUUAUUUUUUAUAUCCACAAUUUUAAAAAGUAUAUACUUUCCAAAAUGAUUGAUUUUUAAAUAAUAAAAAUAAUAAUUUAUUUUUAUUUUUUUGAAAAAUUGUGUAUUUUUUUUCAAAUCACUAAAUUAUAUUGAAUUUAAUUGAGGUUUAUAAAAGGAAUCUUGGCUCCGACGGGAAGCGAAAGGAGGCUUUCGAAAGAUAAACUAGGGCCGAGGAAUGGAAUUGGAGUAGGGAGAGCGGAGGCUGACCAGAUUCGAUAAAUGCGGCGUCGGAAGCAGCGAACAAGGUGGCCGACGGCGAUUUGGGAAGUAGGGUCUGAGAGACGAGUUCGAGGGUGAGGGACAUGGAGACGUAGCCCGAAUCAGAGAGGAUUUCUGCAGCGUCGAGGAUUGUUUGGGAUGGGAGAGAAGAGGAGAGGGAUAAGAGACAGAAAAUGAUGAGAGAAGUGAGAAGAGAGUACGCCAUUAAUGGUAGGUCCGGAAGAUUUUUAGGGUUUAGGUUGCAGAUUUUCUAUAUGAACGAAGGAGAAAGGAUUCUGGCGGGAAAGAAAAAUGAAACGUGGCGGCAUGGGAUUU